AAGAAAUUUUCUUACUUUUUUACAUUUUUCUACUUACCAACAGUUUUCUUUCCCAGAAAAUCGUUAUAGGAAAACGUUGAGAGAAAAACAUGUUUGUGAGGGAUACAGAUAUUUUUGUUUCAGGAACUACAGAAGAGCAAUACCCUCGCUGUCUAUUUAUAUAUUUUCUUUUUUAGUAGUGAAGUGAUUUUUAUCUCGCUUAAAUCAACCAAAUAUACUACAUUUUCUUUACAUGUAUAAAGUCCUGGAAAAUGUGAUAAAAGAAAAAUGAAAUAAAAUAUAACAUUGUAUAUAAGAAAGAUGCAUACUUUGUUUUAAAUAAACA
rnacentral:lncRNA from 1 species